rnacentral:lncRNA from 1 species
UCAUCCUAGACCUGUUAUCAGCCACUACAUAAGGAGCAUACCUGGUUAGCUGAGUAAACUUAAGGGAAUACUCUUUCACACUCAUAUUGCCCUGCUUCAAAUUAAUAAACUCUAACACCUUAGCUUCUCUUAGCUCUAAAAGGAAGAAUCUAUCUAAGAAGGCUGUAGCAAACUCCUCCCACUUUAUAUGCUCUGCUUCCGUGCCUUAAUCCUCUCUCCAC